rnacentral:lncRNA from 1 species
GUAGGACAGGCAUCAGCAGCUACAGGGGGUUGGGGAUGAGGAACACAGGAAGAACUGAAACCCCAGGUGGAGUGACGGAAUCAGGUACUGACUGAAGCUCGCCCUCUCCCACACCCAGGGAACUUGAACUGCAUCCUAAGGCAGCUGCUUAUGACAGCAUCAGCUUUUUAUUAACCAGGUCCGGAGUGAUGUGCUUCCAGGUGGAAUCAGUAAAACAGAUCAUGGCAGUGGAAACAAUAAAGGACAUCACUAAGGUAAGUUAGAGCUAAGAAAAAGAAAGUGACAGAUGAUUCUGUACAACAGCAAGACCCUGUUCAGGUGGUUUCAGCUAUGGAAUGGAUUCACUUAAGGUGGGACAAAAGAAAAAGGGGCAG